CUCGUAGGCGGUUUGUCGCGUCGGCUGUGAAAACCUGGGGCUCAACCCCGGGCCUGCAGCCGAUACGGGCAAACUAGAAUUCGGUAGGGGAGACUGGAAUUCCUGGUGUAGCGGUGAAAUGCGCAGAUAUCAGGAGGAACACCGGUGGCGAAGGCGGGUCUCUGGGCCGAUAUUGACGCUGAGGAGCGAAAGCGUGGGGAGCAAACA
rnacentral:rRNA from 1 species